rnacentral:rRNA from 1 species
GACGUAGGGCGCGAGCGUUGUCCGGAUUUAUUGGGCGUAAAGAGCUCGUAGGCGGCUUGUCGCGUCGUCCGUGAAAACCCACAGCUCAACUGUGGGCUUGCGGUCGAUACGGGCAGGCUAGAGUUCGGUAGGGGAGACUGGAAUUCCUGGUGUAGCGGUGAAAUGCGCAGAUAUCAGGAGGAACACCGAUGGCGAAGGCAGGUCUCUGGGCUGACACUGACGCUCAUGCACGAAAGCGUGGGGAGCAAACAGG